rnacentral:rRNA from 1 species
ACUCCUACGGGAGGCAGCAGUGGGGAAUAUUGCACAAUGGGCGCAAGCCUGAUGCAGCCAUGCCGCGUGUAUGAAGAAGGCCUUCGGGUUGUAAAGUACUUUCAGCAGUGAGGAAGGUGGAUGCGUUAAUAGCGUAUUCAUUUGACGUUAGCUGCAGAAGAAGCACCGGCUAACUCCGUGCCAGCAGCCGCGGUAAUACGGAGGGUGCGAGCGUUAAUCGGAAUUACUGGGCGUAAAGCGCAUGCAGGUGGUUUGUUAAGUCAGAUGUGAAAGCCCGGGGCUCAACCUCGGAAUUGCAUUUGAAACUGGCAGACUAGAGUACUGUAGAGGGGGUAGAAUUUCAGGUGUAGCGGUGAAAUGCGUAGAGAUCUGAAGGAAUACCGGUGGCGAAAGGCGGCCCCCUGGACAGAUACUGACACUCAGAUGCGAAAGCGUGGGGAGCAAACAGGAUUAGAUACCCUGGUAGGAUAGCG